GGCUCCGUGGCUUAAUGGUUACGGCUUCUGCCUCACAAGCAGAAGGUUCAUGGAUCAAAUCCCGGUCGGUACCU
rfam:Culex pipiens quinquefasciatus supercont3.264 genomic scaffold, whole genome shotgun sequence.